GUCAGAUAUUCAGUCAAGGUUUCAUGUAUGCAUUCCUUGAGCCACAGUCGUUGGUUUGUUCAAAGGAUAGACGCAGCGAAUGCGAACAAUAUCUUGAAAGAUGGCUUAAGGAAUCUGACCGAGAGGUGUACAUUGGACCUUACUUCCAUCAGGAACAUUGGCAACUCAUAAUUUUGUGUCCUAGGCAACAUGUUGUUGUUUGGUUCUGUUCUUUGCGUAGGAAACCUGAUAUGCAUAUCAAAGCUACAAUUAAUAGUGUAAUGACAAAAUUGAAGAAGACCUUGUCUCCUGAAACUAAGG